ensembl:snRNA U6 U6 spliceosomal RNA
GUGCCCGCUUCGACAGCACAUAUACUAAAAUUGGAAUGAUACAGAGAAGGUUAGCAUGGCCCCUGCAGAAGGAUGUCAUGCAAAUUUGUGAAGUGUUCCAUAUUUUU